CGAACAGUUCCGCAGGCCUUAUUUCCAAUGGAUCCCGACCAAACGCAUCGAAUGGGUUUGACUUUUGAGAGGAUAAGGAGAAUUUGACACUUGUUAACGGUCGGUUGACAAGCGUAACGAGAUGGGCAGCAGAGGAUGCUGGGGAACCGAUUUUAAUUACACGUAAUCUUUAUAAAUAGAAGCAGCAAGAGGCAGAAGGCAAUAACCGGCGAGGAUCCUCGGCCAUCCAAUAAUAAAAAAAUGCAGCUCACAGAACCAAGUACAAGUCGAAUGCAUAAAUCAAUAGUGCCUUGAGCUGUGGAAGGCAGUAAACACAGAUACCAGCUCACACAGAAGCCGAGAGCGAGAAAUGCCGGGACAAGCCAUAAAUGAGUAAUUGCUGACAACGCUGCAG